UACGAAGGGGACUAGCGUUGUUCGGAAUCACUGGGCGUAAAGCGCACGUAGGCGGAUAUGCCAGUCAGGGGUGAAAUCCCGGGGCUCAACCUCGGAACUGCCUUUGAUACAGCAUGUCUUGAGUCCGAUAGAGGUGGGUGGAAUUCCUAGUGUAGAGGUGAAAUUCGUAGAUAUUAGGAAGAACACCAGUGGCGAAGGCGGCCCACUGGAUCGGUACUGACGCUGAGGUGCGAAAGCGUGGGGAGCAAACAGG
rnacentral:rRNA from 1 species